CCCACCACACAGAAGAAUCUCUUUCUCACUCACUCUCUCUUUCUUUCUCAUCAUCAAAUCAAAUAUUUCCAACUCUCAUCAACUCUGUUCUCUCCUCCCUCCACCUCUGUCCUUGUGUCCCCAUUCCAAAAACUCACAUCAUAACCCUCCUCUGCCCCUGCAAUUUAUUCAACACCUUCUGACAAACCUCUUAAUUUUCUCUUGCAGUUCUUCCACUGAGUGAUGGGUAUGAUCUCUCCUCACUUCCACAACUCCCACAUUAUAGUUCUCCUUAUCACCUGCUUCUUCCGCCAUAAAUUCUAGAUCAAAACAAACAACCCCACACAGUCACACCCCUGAAACCUGAUCCACCUUUUAUGGGGUAUGCUAUGAUUGUGAAUAUGACCUUUUAAUCUAAUACCUCCACCUUUGCAACAAGGCUCCACACAAAGUACUACUACUCCAAAAAGUUCCCAUAAUUCCCCUCUCUAGUGAAGUUACUAUGGCUGGUAGUAAGCUUUAUGGGGGUUCCAACAUGGCCCUUCUGCUCCAAAAUGAAAGGCUUCCUUGCUCCUCUGAAGUUCUUGACUCUCUCUGGGGUCACACCUCUAACCCUGCUUCUUUCCAAGGGUCGAAAUCGGUGGUUGAUUUUGAGAAUGUUGGUGGCAGCAGGGUCACUGACAGGUCCUUCUUUCAACAGCUUGACAAGGAAGAGAACUGUGAUGAUGAUUAUGAUGCUUGCUUCCAUCAACCAGGGAAGAAGAGAAGGCUCUCUAGUGAACAAGUUCAGUUCCUUGAAAGGAGCUUUGAGGUGGAAAACAAGCUUGAACCUGAAAGGAAGGUUCAGCUUGCAAAAGAGCUUGGGUUGCAGCCAAGACAAGUGGCUAUAUGGUUCCAAAACCGAAGGGCAAGGUACAAGACCAAGCAGUUAGAAAAGGACUAUGGCACAUUGAAAGCUAGCUUUGACAGACUCAAAGGUGACUAUGAUAAUCUUGCUCAAGAGAAUGACAAGUUAAAAGAAGAGGUGAAUUCUCUGAAGAACAAAUUGAUUCCCAGAGAUAAAGAGAAAGAGAAUUCAGAUGACAAGUCAUCCCCUGAUGCUGCAGAACCUAUGGAUUUAAUCUCAAAUGCAAAUUCUGAAAAUGGGUCCAAAGUGCCACUCCCUAAUAUGGUAACAUGCUGCAAGCAAGAAGAUGCCAAUUCAGCUAAAAGUGAUGUGCUUGAUUCGGAUAGCCCACAUUGCACUGAUGGGAACCACUUCAUGGAGCCUGCUGAUUCCUCUCAUGCUUUCGAACCAGACCACUCAGAUUUCUCACAGGAUGAAGAGGAUAACCUCGGUGAAAACCUCUUGAACCUGCCUUGCUUGCCAAAGGUUGAAGAUGUCUGUUAUGAUGACCUGCCUGAUAACUCUUGUAAUUUUGGCUUCCCGGUUGAAGAUCAAACCUUCUGUUUCUGGCCUUACUGAAUCCCUACGCUCCCAGGGUUAUAAAUUGCAGUCCGCAACCGCAAUUGUGGCGGCAGCAUAAAGCGUUUUGGACUCUCAACAUUAGCAUCAUAGCCACAAUUGCAGCAGCAUCAACUCCUACUUAUCAGUAAUUCCGUGACCGUAAUUUAAAACCCUGCUACUUUCACAAUGUUUAGAGAAAGUUCCUAGUUGUAACUCUGUACUAGAGGAAAUAAAAACAGUAUUACUUCUACUAAGGAAUAAAAUCAAACAGGUACAAGGCAUUAUGCAA